UGGGGAAUUUUGGACAAUGGGCGAAAGCCUGAUCCAGCAAUGCCGCGUGUGUGAAGAAGGCCUUCGGGUUGUAAAGCACUUUUGUCCGGAAAGAAAUCCUUGGCUCUAAUACAGUCGGGGGAUGACGGUACCGGAAGAAUAAGCACCGGUUAACUACGUGCCAGCAGCCGCGGUAAUACGUAGGGUGCAAGCGUUAAUCGGAAUUACUGGGCGUAAAGCGUGCGCAGGCGGUUUGCUAAGACCGAUGUGAAAUCCCCGGGCUCAACCUGGGAACUGCAUUGGUGACUGGCAGGCUAGAGUAUGGCAGAGGGGGGUAGAAUUCCACGUGUAGCAGUGAAAUGCGUAGAGAUGUGGAGGAAUACCGAUGGCGAAGGCAGCCCCCCUGGGCCAAAUACUGACGCUCAUGCACGAAAGCGUGGGGAGCAAACAGGAUUAGAUACCCCUGGUAGUCCACGCCCUAAACGAUGUCAACUAGUUGUUGGGGAUCAUUUCCUUAGUAACGUAGCUAACGCGUGAAGUUGACCGCCUGGGGAGUACGGUCGCAAGAUUAAAACUCAAAUGAAUUGAC
rnacentral:rRNA from 1 species